GAGUCUCUGCAGUGCCGAUAACGGUGUUGGUGUCCCCAGUCACAGUAUUAACGGAUUUGGUUCGACACCAUCAACACAAUCAUCACCGACUUCUGCUCCAAACACUAUAGAAUCACUUUUGGAGCCAUUCGGCCUACAGAACAGCCAAGCUGACUUCGCUGCCGCACUUGCCCAGUUGACCGGACAGUCUGUCAAACAAAUGGAUAGGUAAACGAUUUUAAAUAUUACAAAAUCUUCAAAUUUUUUUAUUCGAAACUUUGAAUCAAAAAUAUUUAUUUUUUCAAAUUUCCUUUUGAAAUAGUCAUUAAAAAUGUGAUCUCCACGUUUUUCAAUGUUUUGUAUCCCAGAGGAAUGAAAUUAUCAAAUAAAUUUCUCCUCUUUAUUUUCUGACCCAAAGUCUAGUGACCAGGAAAUGGCUAUUACUCAAAAAAAAUUAGAAACGAAGAUUUUUACACUAAAACCGGAAAAGUGUCUCUCCCACUCUACGUGUUUUGCACUUUAACAGUUCGAUUGUACUCUACUCUUUUUUUCUUUGUAGACAACAAGCUUCGGCUAUACAAAGACCUACGUCGUUUGCUGGGAGCUCUCUCUUCGGAGCUUCUGAGUUUGGAAACCCACUUGGAGCGCCUGGAACACCAAUUG
rnacentral:sRNA from 1 species